rnacentral:misc_RNA from 1 species
GCAUACCUUGGUGCAUUGA